UACGAAGGGGGCUAGCGUUGUUCGGAAUUACUGGGCGUAAAGCGCACGUAGGCGGAUACUUAAGUCAGGGGUGAAAUCCAGCAGCUUAACUGUUGAAGUGCCUUUGAUACUGGCGAGCUCGAGGGAGGUAGGGGUCUGUGGAACUUCUGGUGGAGCGGUGAAAUGCGUUGAUAUCAGAAGGAACGCCGGUGGCGAAAGCGACGGACUGGACCUCUUCUGACGCUGAGGCGCGAAAGCUAGGGGAGCAAACGGG
rnacentral:rRNA from 1 species